CGCUGAACUCGUGCCGGAAAUCGCAGCGGCCGACAGUACAAAAUUAAAGGUCAAAACAUACACAAAAUCAUCUGGUUAAAAAUCAAUCGUGAUAAAUUCAUUAAUUCAAAGCAGAAGAAGAAUGGGGAGACCAAAGGGAGAAGCUGCAAGAAGCAAGUCUCGCCCCUCUAGCAGCAGGUUCUUUUCUUCAAAUUCUUUUUUUUUUCCUGGACUUUUUGAAAUUUAAAUCAAUAAAGAUGAAAAUUUUGAAUAAUUUUUUGGCAGUUUGGCUGCUUCGCUAGUGCCUUCAGGUGCUACCGCCGUAGGUUUCGGUGGCUAUGUUGGAAGCUCAAGAGUCGACUCUUCUCUCGCAUCAACACCAGAAGCCUCCUCUUUUAUGGUAAAUUUUAUUUCUAUUUUGCUGGA
rnacentral:lncRNA from 1 species